UACGUAGGGUGCAAGCGUUGUCCGGAAUUAUUGGGCGUAAAGAGCUCGUAGGCGGUUUGUUGCGUCGGCUGUGAAAUCCCGAGGCUCAACCUCGGGUCUGCAGUCGAUACGAGCAAACUAGAGUGUUGCAGGGGAGACUGGAAUUCCUGGUGUAGCGGUGAAAUGCGCAGAUAUCAGGAGGAACACCGAUGGCGAAGGCAGGUCUCUGGGCCAUAACUGACGCUGAGACGCGAAAGCGUGGGGAGCAAACAGG
rnacentral:rRNA from 1 species